rnacentral:rRNA from 1 species
UACGAAGGGGGCUAGCGUUGCUCGGAAUUACUGGGCGUAAAGCGCACGUAGGCGGGCUUUCUAAGUCGGGGGUGAAAUCCUGGAGCUCAACUCCAGAACUGCCUUCGAUACUGGAGAGCUUGAGUCCGGGAGAGGUGAGUGGAACUGCGAGUGUAGAGGUGAAAUUCGUAGAUAUUCGCAAAGAACACCAGUGGCGAAGGCGGCUCACUGGCCCGGAACUGACGCUGAGGCACGAAAGCGUGGGGAGCAAACAGG